GAUGAACGCUGGCGGCGUGCCUAAUACAUGCAAGUCGAGCGAACAGACGCGGAGCUUGCUCCUCUGACGUUAGCGGCGGACGGGUGAGUAACACGUGGAUAACCUACCUAUCAGACUGGGAUAACUUCGGGAAACCGGCGCUAAUACCGGAUAAUAUAUUGAACCGCAUGAUUCAAUAGUGAAAGACGGUUUUGCUGUCACUUAUAGAUGGAUCCGGGCCUCAUUAGCUGGUUGGGAAGGUAUCGGCUUACCAGGGCAACGGUGCGUAACCGACCUGAGAGGGUGUACGCGCACUCUGGAGCUGAGCCACGGUCCAGACUCUUACGUACGGCAGCAGUAGGUAAGCUUCCGCAAAGUGCGAAAGCCUGACGGAUCAACGCCGCGUGAGUGAAGAAGGUCUGCGUAUCGGAAAACUCUGUUAUGAGUGAAGAACAAAUUUGUAAGUAACGAUGCGCGUCUGGACGGUACCUAUACAGAAAGCCCCGCCUACUUACUG
rnacentral:rRNA from 1 species